CGGUAAUACGUAGGGGGCAAGCGUUGUCCGGAUUUAUUGGGCGUAAAGGGUACGCAGGCGGUUAUGUAAGUCGGAUGUAAAAGACCGGGGCUCAACCCCGGCAAGCAUCUGAAACUGCAUGACUUGAGUUAAGGAGAGGAAAGUGGAAUUCCUAGUGUAGCGGUGGAAUGCGUAGAUAUUAGGAGGAAUACCCGUGGCGAAGGCGACUUUCUGGACCGUAACUGACACUGAGGCACGAAAGCGUGGGGAGCAAACAGGAUUAGAUACCCUGGUAGUCCACGCCGUAAACGAUGAGUACUAGGUGUCGGGCGAGAGCUCGGUGCCNAANUUAACACAUUAAGUACUCCGCCUGGGGAGUACGCUCGCAAGAGUAAACUCAAGGAAUUGACGGGACCCGCNAAGCACGGACAUGUGUUUAUUC
rnacentral:rRNA from 1 species